GGCCGUGUGGCCCAAUGGCAAGGCGCUUGACUACGAUCGAUCUUGGGUCAACCAGGAUUCGGCAAUCAAGAGAUUCCAGGUUCGACCCCUGGCACGGUCA
rfam:Baudoinia panamericana TAMH 10762 unplaced genomic scaffold BATCOscaffold_9, whole genome shotgun sequence.